rnacentral:rRNA from 1 species
CUUUUGAGUACCUUCGUUUCCUCGGCGGGUUCGCCCGCCGAUUGGACAAUUUAAACCAUUUGCAGUUGCAAUCAGCGUCUGAAAAAACAUAAUAGUUACAACUUUCAACAACGGAUCUCUUGGUUCUGGCAUCGAUGAAGAACGCAGCGAAAUGCGAUAAGUAGUGUGAAUUGCAGAAUUCAGUGAAUCAUCGAAUCUUUGAACGCACAUUGCGCCCCUUGGUAUUCCAUGGGGCAUGCCUGUUCGAGCGUCAUUUGUACCUUCAAGCUCUGCUUGGUGUUGGGUGUUUGUCUCGCCUCUGCGCGUAGACUCGCCUCAAAACAAUUGGCAGCCGGCGUAUUGAUUUCGGAGCGCAGUACAUCUCGCGCUUUGCAUUCAGAACGACGACGUCCAAAAGUACAUUUUUAC